rnacentral:rRNA from 1 species
GACGAACGCUGGCGGCGUGCUUAACACAUGCAAGUCGAACGGAAAGGCCCUGCUUUUGUGGGGUGCUCGAGUGGCGAACGGGUGAGUAACACGUGAGUAACCUGCCCUUGACUUUGGGAUAACUUCAGGAAACUGGGGCUAAUCCCGGAUAGGAGCUCCUGCUGCAUGGUGGGGGUUGGAAAGUUUCGGUGGUUGGUGAUGGACUCGCGGCUUAUCAGCUUGUUGGUGGGGUAGUGGCUUACCAAGGCUUUGACGGGUAGCCGGCCUGAGAGGGUGACCGGCCACAUUGGGACUGAGAUACGGCCCAGACUCCUACGGGAGGCAGCAGUGGGGAAUAUUGCACAAUGGGCGGAAGCCUGAUGCAGCAACGCCGCGUGCGGGAUGACGGCCUGCGGGUUGUAAACCGCUUUCGCCUGUGACGAAGCGUGAGUGACGGUAAUGGGUAAAGAAGCACCGGCUAACUACGUG